ensembl:misc_RNA Y_RNA Y RNA
GGCUGGUACAAUAUAGUGGAUUAUCAGAACUUUAUCAACAUUAGUGUCACGAAAGUUGGUAUACCACCUCCCACUGCUAAAUUUGACUGGCUUAUU